GAUGAACGCUGGCGGCGUGCCUAAUACAUGCAAGUCGAGCGAACAGACGAGGAGCUUGCUCCUCUAACGUUAGCGGCGGACGGGUGAGUAACACGUGGAUAACCUACCUAUAAGACUGGGAUAACUUCGGGAAACCGGAGCUAAUACCGGAUAAUAUAUUGAACCGCAUGGUUCAAUAGUGAAAGACGGUUUUGCUGUCACUUAUAGAUGGAUCCGCGCCGCAUUAGCUAGUUGGUAAGGUAACAGCUUGCCAAGGCAACGAUGCGUAGCCGACCUGAGAGGGUGAUCGGCCACACUGGAACUGAGACACGGUCCAGACUCCUACGGGAGGCAGCAGUAGGGAAUCUUCCGCAAUGGGCGAAAGCCUGACGGAGCAACGCCGCGUGAGUGAUGAAGGUCUUCGGAUCGUAAAACUCUGUUAUUAGGGAAGAACAAAUGUGUAAGUAACUAUGCACGUCUUGACGGUACCUAAUCAGAAAGCCACGGCUAACUACGUG
rnacentral:rRNA from 1 species